GGAAGCCAGUGCUGGGGCCUCACAUCACAGCUGGGGUGACAUCAGAAAUACGGUCAAGAGUUCCCAGAGUAAAUAGUUCCAAAUUUGCCCUGGGAUUGAAACACUCCCUAAAAUCCUGCGUGUGAGAUCCCCCUGUUUUUCUGCAUGGACACGUGGGUGUAUGAGCACAUGGCAUCCUGCUUUCAGAAACACUGAAACAUCAUAUAAGUGAAAUACCUUCUAAAGGUGUCUGCUCAAAGGAGAUUGUGGGACCAGUGCUUUGGGAGACCAUGGUAUCCACAUGAUUGCUGGCCAGGAUUCAUGCACAUUUUCUCCAAGUCUUGCAGUAUCCUGAGUUAAAGCUGGAGAAGGAAAACUUUGCCCAUCUUAGAUUUCCAGUUGUUUUCUCCACCUACACUCUGCUAAGUUUGUUUAUAUGGUGGAUUACAUUGAUGGAUUUCCAUAUAUUGAACCACCCCUGCAUGCCUGGGAUGAAGCUUACGUGGUCAUAGUGGAUGAUAUCUUUGGUGUGUUCUUGAUUUGGUUGGCAAGCAUUUUAUUGAGUAUUUUUGCAUCAAUGUUCAUAAAAGAGAUUGGCUGGAAACAAGCCAGAUGCACCUCAGUAGAGGAAUGGAUACAGAAAUUGUGGUACAUUUACCCAAUGGAAUAUUACUCAAUAAUUAAAAACAAAGAAAUCAUGACAUUUGCAGGCAAAUGGUGGGAUCUAGAAAAGAUCAUUCCGAGUGAGGUAUCCCAGAAGCAGAAAGACACACAGGGUAUAUACUCACUUAUAAGUGGGUAUUAGACAUAUAAUACAGGGUACUCAUGCUAAAAUCUGUACACCUAAGGAAGCUAAUCAAGAAGGAGGACCGUGGGUAAGAUGCUCAAUCUUCAUUCAGAAAGGCAAAUGAGAUGGACAUCAGAAGAGGGAGAAAAAAGGGAACAGGACAGGAGCCCAUCACAGAUGGUCUCUGAAAGACUUCACCCAGCAGUGAAGUAUCAAAACAUAUGCCGAGAUGCAUAACCAAACUUUGGGCAGAGUGCAGGGAAUCUUAUGAAAGAAGGGGGAGAUAGAAAGACCUGGAGGGAACAGGAGCUCCACAAAUGGAGCAACAGAACCAAAAAGUCUGGGCACAGGGGUCUUUUCUGAGACAGAUACUCCAAACAAGGACCACACAUGGAGAUAACUUAGAACUCCUGCACAGAAGUAGCCCAAGGCAGCUCAGUAUCCAAGAGGUUUCCCCAAUAAUAGGACCAGGAACCAUCUUUGACAUGAACUCAUGGGUUGGCUCUUGGAUCACUUCCGCCUGAGGGGGAAGCAGCCCUGCCAGGCCACAGAGGAAGACAAAGAUGCCAGUCCUGGUGAGGCCUGAUGGACUGGAAGACCUCCCCAAUUAUUGGACUUGGGGAGGGGCAUAGGAGAAGAAG